rnacentral:rRNA from 1 species
GAUGAACGCUGGCGGCGUGCCUAAUACAUGCAAGUCGAGCGAACAGACGAGGAGCUUGCUCCUCUGACGUUAGCGGCGGACGGGUGAGUAACACGUGGAUAACCUACCUAUAAGACUGGGAUAACUUCGGGAAACCGGAGCUAAUACCGGAUAAUAUAUUGAACCGCAUGGUUCAAUAGUGAAAGACGGUUUUGCUGUCACUUAUAGAUGGAUCCGCGCCGCAUUAGCUAGUUGGUAAGGUAACGGCUUACCAAGGCAACGAUGCGUAGCCGACCUGAGAGGGUGAUCGGCCACACUGGAACUGAGACACGGUCCAGACUCCUACGGGAGGCAGCAGUAGGGAAUCUUCCGCAAUGGGCGAGAGCCUGACGGAGCAACGCCGCGUGAGUGAUGAAGGUCUUCGGAUCGUAAAACUCUGUUAUUAGGGAAGAACAAAUGUGUAAGUAACUAUGCACGUCUUGACAGUACCUAAUCAGAAAGCCACGGCUAACUACGUG